UCCUACGGGAGGCAGCAGUAGGGAAUCUUCGGCAAUGGACGAAAGUCUGACCGAGCAACGCCGCGUGAGUGAAGAAGGUUUUCGGAUCGUAAAACUCUGUUGUUAGAGAAGAACAAGGAUGAGAGUAAAACGUUCAUCCCUUGACGGUAUCUAACCAGAAAGCCACGGCUAACUACGUGCCAGCAGCCGCGGUAAUACGUAGGUGGCAAGCGUUGUCCGGAUUUAUUGGGCGUAAAGCGAGCGCAGGCGGUUUCUUAA
rnacentral:rRNA from 1 species